GCAUGUUUAAGUUAGUUGAGCUAUGUUAGGUUUUAUGGGAUUUUUGAGCAAUGUGGCAUGUUUGAGUAUGUUUGAAGUGUUGUAGUUAGGGUAUAUGCUUGUUUGAGGCCCCUAGGAGCUUGUAUGCAUGUUUUGGUUGAGUGGUAUGCAUGAUUUGAGCUUGGGAGGCGAAAUGUGCAUAGGAGAGCUGAGUUUCUGCCAUUCUGGGAGAAACCAGGUUCGGCCGCCGAAGGGACUUUCGGCCACCGAACCCCCUUGUGGAGGCAGGCCUUUCGGCUGCCGAAGUUGCCC
rnacentral:lncRNA from 1 species